rnacentral:lncRNA from 10 species
CUGAGAUUUCCUCUCCGUGACCCUUCUUCCCCCUCUAGGGGUCCUGGGCUGCCCUGAGGCCACCGCCUAGCAAGAUCAAGAUAGGGCUUGAGCGGCAGUGGGAUAGGGCAGUGGGGGUUCCGGGGGGGUCCGGUGCAGGCAGAACCAAGAGUGUGCCGGCGGAGGGCUGUCGGUACAGGGUGCAGGGCGUGGCGGCUGCAGGACCUCAGCUUGCCUCUUUAAAUCCCUUCCUGGGCACCGCGGUGGCCCGGCCCUUUCCCCUCGUGCUGUUUCUGCUGGAAACGCCGCACAGUCUCCUCGGGGGCAGCCGCCAGCGGAAACGGUUAUUGGCCGCCAGGCAAGCCAGUCCCAUCCUUCCCAGCAACUGGGACUUUCCGGGCAGGGCUCCCCAGCGCGGGUUCAGCUAAUUAAGGAAGCAAUUAGCCUCCCCUGAGGCUAUUCAUGCUUCCUCACCCACAGUUCUCAGGUUCUGUGAGACCAGAGCCUCAGUCUCCCGUGAGCAGAGGGUGUGUGUGUGGCUGCCACUAUUCUGCAGACACGCUGGCUCCACCCCAGAGAGUUGCAGGGCCAGGAAAUCUGCAUUUAAACAGACCCUGGCUCUCACACUUCGGAAACUGCCCGAAGCACCUCUCAAAUAUGGGACAGAUUUUCAGCUGCAUUCAGAGUUCAGCAGCUUUCGGGCGGUUCCUGGAAGCCCGACGUCAUUUAUAAUCCGGUUUCUGAGUGGGAACGGCUUUCUCUGGGAGACAGCUCCUUGGGAAGUUAGAGACUUCCUGCACUUAUUGGACUCGAACAUCCAUUCUGUACAAAAUGCCCCGCAACACUGAGGAGAUGCUGUUUUGUUUUUGUUUGUUUGUUUGUUUUUUCGAGACGGAGUUUUACUCCUGUUGCCCAGACUGGAGUGCAAUGGUGCGAUCUUGGCUCACUGCAACCUCCGCCUCCCGGGUUCAAGUGAUUCUCCUGCCUCAGCCUUCUGAGUAGCUGGGACUACAGGCAAGAUGCUGUUUUAGGACCAGAAAUCUCCCAGGGGUGUGCAGAUCAACAGUAAUCCCAGUCUGCCCUCCAUCGUCGGAAUAGAAUCAGAGGGAGGGAAAAUCCGCCUUUGGAUCUCUGGACCAUGAUCUUUCCAGCAGGUCACAGGUGACCAAAGGCUUCACUUGCAGAAGCCCCCUCCCCAGGAAACUCCCCUGGGGCAAAACGAAAGUGUUUUGGGCGUUUUUGUCUGCCUGGCAGGGAGCCUGUGCCUGAGUCACUGUUUCUCUUGAGCUUCCCUUUUCUUUUCUUUCCUCCCGGUGUCUGCUGAUUUUGUGUCAAACAAGGAGCAUGGGGCCAGGCCAUCUCUGAGCUGCCCGUGGGACGGGGACUUGGGCACUUGCCAGGAGCGGCUGGCCUAGGAGUGGGCGGGAGGCCCUUGGUCACCCACCCCAGGGCCUGGCUUCAGGUGGCCACAGCUUUCUGACCCCCUUCUGGGCACUGGGCCACCAGCUGCUGGGCAUGGCCAGUGAGUGAGGGUGAGGGCAAGAUGAGGAAGAGGUGGCGUAAGGUGGGAAAGGAUUACUUGCCAGACGCUUGGCUGAGUCUGUUCUCUAAGCCAUGCUGCGAGGCAGGUGCUAUUGUGUCUGCAUUUUGCGGAUGAGGAAACUGUGGCUCAGAGAAGGGAAGUCACUGUUUUAAGGUGCUUAGGCCGAAAAUCAGGAAUCUCUUGAAUGAAUGCAUGAAGGUGGAGCCCUUUCCCUUAAUGCGCAGGUGAAAAGGGCACCUCGGUGGAUUCUACUAAAUUUAAUAGAAGACCCAAGACGGGGUGGGGGAGACGUGCUUUGUGCUCACCUGGCUGGUUCAUGGGCAGGUGGCCUGGAGGACCCAGCCCUGGCAGCUGUGGGGUAGCUCCAGCCUGGGCCGGACAGCUUCUUUCAUCGCAGGCACCACUGCGGACAUUGCUGGGAGGAAGAGGAGGGAGAAGCGACGGGCUUCAUUAGGAACGGAAAUGCCAAGAUUAGUGAAAGAAUGAAAAGAGUCAAAACAGCCUAGAAAAGGCUUCAAUGAUCCUCAAACUGGAUGAUCGAAUCCCGAAUAAUUGGGAAUCAACAGUAAAGGCCAAAGCUUUCGAUGGAUUGGACGAGGCGCGUCCACCCUGGGGAGGGCCAUCAUUUUAUUCAGUCUACUGAUGCAAAUGCUUAUCUCUUCUGGAAACACCUUCACAGACAGACCCAGAAUAUAGUUGAACCAAAUACUGGGCACCUCAUGGCUCCAACAGGUUGACACAAAAAAUGAACCAUUGCAGAAAACGAAGAACAGUCACCAACUCCCACCCAUGCAGCUGGCUCAUUUGCUGGGCUGCCCUCCCCAGCAGGUGGCACAGGAAUCCCUGCCUUGGCAGGGAGGAGGCCUGGGGUGUGUGCAGGUACCCAUGGGAAGUUUCUUUGCCAUGGGGAAAGCCAGAGUCACCCCUUGCUUGAACACAAGAGUUGGAGGUUUCAGUGAGCUGAGAUUACGCUAUUGCACUCCAGCCUGGGCGGCAGAGUGAGACUCUGUCUCUAGAUAAAUAAAUUAAAUAAAUAAAUAAAUAUAAUUUAAUAUAAAUAACUAGAAAUUUUUCAAUACUUGCAUCUCUGUAGGUUACCUCUGGAAGUGCAGGGCUUUGUCUUUUUGGAUUAACUCAGAAAUUAGACCUUCAGAAAACAACAUCAGCUCUGAUUCUCUGCACCCUUGAUGCUGCCGGUGGCGACUGCGGCUUCCUGAUGGAAAUGUAGACCUGAACAUAAGUCGCAGAAAAAUGCAGACUUGAGUUGGAGCUAAGCUGACUCAGAGCUGCCCUAGAAAGAGGCCCCGUGGCAAAGAACCAAAGGCACCCAGCAACACGAGUGAGGGUGGAAGUGGCUCUUUCCCCAUUCCAGCCUCGCGGUGACCGCAGCCCUGGCUGACACCUUGCUUGCAGCCUGGUGAGAGACAGCAGCCCGAGGACCCUGCUAAGCUGCACCCAGGCUCCUGACCCAUGGAAACUGUGAGAUGAUAAACAUGUACUGCUUAAGCUGAGAUUCGGGCUAAUUUGUUACACAGUCAUAGACAUCGUUUUUUGUUGUUGUUGUUUUUUGAGAUGGAGUCUCACUCUGUCGCCCAGGCUGGAGUGCAGUGGCACAAUCUCAGCUCACUGCAACAUCCACCUCCCAGGUUCAAGCGAUUCUCGUGCCUCAGCCUCCCAAGUAGCUGGGAUUACAGGCAUCUGCCACCAUGCCCGGCUAAUUUUUUUGUAUCUUUAGGAGAGACAGGGUUUCACCAUGUUGGCCAGCUGGUCUCAAACUCCUGAGCUCAAGAGAUCUGCCCACCUUGGCCUCCCAAAGUGCUGGGAUUACAGGCAUGAGCCACUGUGCCCGGCCUGUUACACAGUCAUAGACAUCUAUAAAAUACUCAACACGGUGCCGGCGCAUGGCAAGCAUCAGUUACUGACCACGGUGACCCUUCUGUGUACACCAGGGGAACUCAAAAUACUCAGGAAAUCUAAGCAUAUAAGCCUAGUCACCAGGCUGUCGACAUGACCCUUAACAAUGAACCUGUGUCUUUUGCCACCUCAUGAUGUCAUAGAAGAAGAGCAGCAUCAAUGUUAAGAGUCUGGAGGAGGGACUAGAUGCUGUGGCUCACACCUGUAAUCCCAGCACUUUGGGAGGCCGAGGCAGGUGGAUCACCU